rnacentral:rRNA from 1 species
ACUCAAAGGAAUUGACGGGGGCCCGCACAAGCAGCGGAGCGUGUGGUUUAAUUCGAUGCAACACGAAGAACCUUACCAGGGCUUGACAUGUACGUGGUAGGGAAGUGAAAGCGGAACGACCCCUUCGGGGGAGCGUACACAGGUGCUGCAUGGCUGUCGUCAGCUCGUGCCGUGAGGUGUUGGGUUAAGUCCCGCAACGAGCGCAACCCUUGCCACUAGUUGAACGUUUCUAGUGGGACUGCCGGUACCAAACCGGAGGAAGGUGGGGACGAGGUCAAGUCAGCAUGGCCUUUAUGUCCUGGGCUACACACACGCUACAAUGGCCGGUACAAUGGGUAGCCAAGCCGCGAGGCGGAGCCAAUCCUAAAAAGCCGGUCUCAGUUCAGAUUGCAGUCUGCAACCCGACUGCAUGAAGGCGGAGUUGCUAGUAACCGCAGGUCAGCUAUACUGCGGUGAAUACGUUCCCGGGCCUUGCACACACCGCCCGU